GCGGCAGUGGCGGAAUCGGCAGACGCGCUAGAUUCAGGUUCUAGUGAGUGUACGCUCAUGGGGGUUCAAAUCCCUUCUGCCGCACCA
rnacentral:tRNA from 1 species